rnacentral:rRNA from 1 species
UACGGAGGGUGCAAGCGUUAAUCGGAAUUACUGGGCGUAAAGCGCACGCAGGCCGUCAAUUAAGUCAGAUGUGAAAGGCCCGAGCUUAACUUGGGAAUUGCAUCUGAAACUGGUUGACUUGAGUCUUGUAGAGGGGGGUGGAAUUCCACGUGUAGCGGUGAAAUGCGUAGAGAUGUGGAGGAAUUCCGGUUGCGAAGGCGGCUCCUUGGGAAUGUACUGACGCUCAUGUGCGAAAGCGCGGGGAUCAAACAGG